CCAAGGUGGGACAUUGCUAAGGCUGGCGAUUAGCUCAGCUGCAUUGUUACGUAUUGGGCCCCAGAAGCAGGAAGAAGACACAACAGUGAUACCAGCAGCACCAUGGAAGAAAAGGGAGGAAACAGGCAAGGAAGAUGUAUAGUCAGUAAGAUCAAGACCACAGAGAACUGUUGAUAAUACACAUUUCCAGAAUCUUUUACAAAGAUUGCAGGGUCGGAUCGACAAAGAAAAUAAACUGGACCCCUAGUUUUUUUUCCCAAUGACCCCCAGUGGGGCCCAAAUAUGGAGCGUCCAG